rnacentral:misc_RNA from 1 species
UUUCCGUAGGUGAACCUGCGGAAGGAUCAUUAAAGAUUCGAGCUUCGGCUCACCUCUUCAGCUGUGCGCUUCGGCUGCACGCUGUUGAACACUUCACACCUGUGCACCUUCUCGGUUGCGGCGCUCGCGUCGCUUCCGCUUAUACACAUAUCACUACAGAAGUCUAGAAUGUAACAAAACCAUAAAGUAACAACUUUCAACAACGGAUCUCUUGGCUCUCGCAUCGAUGAAGAACGCAGC